ACGAAUGAAGGAAUAUUAAUACUAUACUCACUAUGAUUGAUAUAUGUGAAUGGGGAUAUUUAUUUCAACUUUUCACACGUUGUCAAUGUCUGUCACAUAAAUAAUACAUAGGAGCUGAUGUGAUUGUACUGUAGUUAAUGUUUUCUUUUUAUUUGAGUAAGACUGACUGAGGGUGACAAUAUCAGUUGUAGUCAAUGAGUAAGUAGGACUAUGGAAGCCAGAAUUUCAAUGUUG
rnacentral:lncRNA from 1 species